UCCCUGGUAGCUUAGAUGGUAAAGCAUCUGCCUACAACGUGGGAGACCUGGGUUUGAUCCCCGGGUUGGGGAG
rfam:Ovis aries breed Texel chromosome 6, whole genome shotgun sequence.